rnacentral:rRNA from 1 species
UGGGGGAUAUUGCACAAUGGGCGAAAGCCUGAUGCAGCGACGCCGCGUGGGGGAUGAAGGCCUUCGGGUUGUAAACUUCUUUUGCUCUGAACAAGGCAUGCUAAUGGGUGUGUUGAGUGUAGGGGUUGAUUAGCGCCGGCUAACUACGUGCCAGCAGCCGCGGUAAUACGUAGGGCGCGAGCGUUGUCCGGAAUUAUUGGGCGUAAAGGGCUUGUAGGUGGCUGGUUGCGUCUGUCGUGAAAGCUCAUGGCUUAACUGUGGGUUUGCGGUGGGUACGGGCUGGCUUGAGUGCAGUAGGGGAGGCUGGAAUUCCUGGUGUAGCGGUGGAAUGCGCAGAUAUCAGGAGGAAUACCGGUGGCGAAGGCGGGUCUCUGGGCUGUUACUGACACUGAGGCGCGAAAGCAUGGGGAGCGAACAGG